AGAUAAUGAGUGGGCAGGACAUGCCGAGAGAUGAAUUUGUAUUGGUCUACCAUAUAGCAUGCAUCAGUCUAUUGGAGCUGGUCAGUAUGUUUAGGUAAUCAUGUCGAAUGAGGCUUUAAAAAAAAAACAUGUAUUGCUUAGUUAAACUGAAUAAACCAAAUGUCAAGUUAAAGUGUACUGUUAGCUAGAUAACAUUAGCUGGCUGGCUCGCUAGCUAACGUUAUGUGUAUGCUCUCCACUUUCUGGAGGACCGAGUUUUGAAAUCAGUAGAAUUCGAGUAUGAUAGCUAAGGAGACGGAGAAAACACCAGUCUGGAUUACAUCGUCAAACAAGGCAACCAUGCAUGGCAUCAGACAGGAGACGCUUCCAACCAUGAUGUAUACUGUCUAUCUUUCUGUCUAUCUGUCUCUCUGAUUUCUUAGCUCCACACAUCGUAACAGAAAUGAAAAAAGAGAUCCUCUGUGAGUGUUGUUACCUGUUUCUCGGCUGAGCCCGCGUUCCCAGGGUCCUGUUAUCCAUCCGCCCGCUCCAGACGCCACCACCCUGUACAGGGUGUGUGAGUUUGUGCAUGUGUGUGUGUGUUAGUGUGUGUGUCAUUGUGUGUUAGUGUGUGUGCGUGUGUGUUAGUGUGUGUGUGUGUGUGUGUGUGUGUGUGUGUGUGUGUGUGUGUGUGUGUGUGUGUGUGUGUGUGUGUGUGUGUCUGUCAGUGUGUGGACUACCUGUAAAGGGCUGUACUCCCAGGUCUCUGGCCCAUGUAUAGCAGUACAGAGUCGUUGCCAUGGCAAUAGUAGACGCUAUCGGUUGCCGGGCAGCCAUCAAGAUUGACCAUAAUGGAGCGGCGGGCAGACUAACGUCAGACACAUCCGGUACACCACCGGGACCACUCUGAACGGUUACACCCCUCACACACCCUUCAAGACCUGCCCAGGAGAGGAGAGAUGGACCUGAGCCCUAGGACUACCUGGCCUGAUGACUCCUUGCUGUCCCAAGUCCACCUGGUCUUGCUGCUGCUCCAGUUUCAACUGUUCUGCCUCCGGCUAUGGAACCCUGACCUGUUCACCAGACGUGCUACCUUGUCCCAGACCUGCUGUCUUCAACUCUCUAGAGACAGCAGGAGCAGUAGAGAUACUCUGAUUGAUCAGGCUAUGAAAAGCCAGCUGACAUUUACUCCUGAGGUGCUGACCUGUUGCACCCUCGACAACCACUGUGAUUAUUGUUAUUUGGCCCAGCUGGUCAUCUAUGAACAUUUGAACAUCUUGGCCAUGUUCUGUUAUAAUCUCCACCUGGCACAGCCAGAAGAGGACUGGCCACCGACCAUAGCCUGGUUCCUCUCUAGGUUUCUUCCUCGGUUCCGGCCUUUCUAGGGAGUUUUUCCUAGCCACUGUGCUUCUACACCUGCAUUGCUUGCUGUUUGGGGUUUUAGGCUGGGUUUCUGUACAGCACUUUGUGACUUUGUGAUCAGCUGAUGUAAGAAGGGCUUUAUAAAUACAUUUGAUUGGAUUUGAAGGAUCACC
rnacentral:lncRNA from 1 species